rnacentral:lncRNA from 1 species
GCCGUGUCAACUGACACGGCCCGUGUCAGGAUCACUGUAAAAGAAGUUGGAGAAAAUGGUGAAACAGUGGCCUGACACGGCCGUGUCAGGCGUGCGAAAUUUUUGAAUUUUUUUUGAAAAAAUUAAAUUUUCAUGGGGCCCACCCCCUUAAACCACUUUUAACCACUCUUUUUUCCCUUAUCACUCAUCAUUAUCAGAUUUUUACCCAAUUUAU